rnacentral:rRNA from 1 species
AACGAACGCUGGCGGCAGGCCUAACACAUGCAAGUCGAGCGAGACCUUCGGGUCUAGCGGCGGACGGGUUAGUAACGCGUGGGAAUAUGCCCAAAGGUACGGAAUAGCCUCUGGAAACGGAGAGUAAUACCGUAUGUGCCCUUCGGGGAAAGAUUUAUCGCCUUUGGAUUAGCCCGCGUUGGAUUAGGUAGUUGGUGGGGUAACGGCCUACCAAGCCUACGAUCCAUAGCUGGUUUGAGAGGAUGAUCAGCAACACUGGGACUGAGACACGGCCCAGACUCCUACGGGAGGCAGCAGUGGGGAAUCUUGGACAAUGGGGCAACCCUGAUCCAGCCAUGCCGCGUGAGUGAUGAAGGCCCUAGGGUCUAAAGCUCUUUCGCCUGUGAAGAUAAUGACGGUAGCAGGUAAA